rnacentral:misc_RNA from 1 species
GUCUAGGCCCGGUGAGAGACUCCACACCGCGGAGAACUGCCAUUCUUUCCUGGGCAUCCCGGGGAUCCCAGAGCCGGCCCAGGUACCAGCAGGCAGAGGCUAAACAAGAGUUACAUCACCUGGAUUUUGUUUCCUGCAAUAUGUCACAAUGGCGAGGGCUAUUAAGACAUGUUUGUCUUCAAAGAAUGGCCUUGGUUUCUGUGGACAGUUUCUCCUCAUGGAAAGCAGCCUUUGUCGCUUCAAACACCGCAAGUGUUCUUUUAAAAGAAUUAUAUCAACCUUUCAAGUGAAAUGCAACAUGUCUGAAACGUGGUAUCUGGAGAGGAACAGUAAGAGGACCUUGUGAGUGAAUAAUUUGUUUCCACAUUACAGAGUGGGUAAUAAGCA